CACCUACUUAGGUGUGGGGAGCGCCCACUACCACCUCAACGCCUCGGCCACGUGCUCUUUCCCCUCUGAGCACCUUCGAGUCUAUGGAAGCCUGGAAGGCCAGCUUCCUGGAGGAGGCGUCCUAAGGCAGCUGGGCACACGGCCGGUCCUGGGACCUCUCAUUAACCAAGCCUUGUGUUAGAGGAGCCUUCAUCUUUACCUAGAGGUCACACAGGCAGAGAUGACAGACGCUCCUCACUGAGCCUCCUCGGGGCUCCCAUUGACAAGCUUCCUCAGGCUGGGUUUGGUCCGGAUCCUCGGGAUUCCCUUCUGCAGGCCUUUUCUCAGGGUCUGCCUUGGGGCGGGUGGGGUUGUAGUGUAGGAAGGGGGAUGCUUCACCCGCUAGGAAUUUCUGGCCCCUGGAAUAUGGGCUCACUCUGGAAUUUCCCCCACUAGACACCAGCUUCUUUUUUGCCUCUACUUGGAGCUCAGCUCCUCCCCAUCUUUUGUUUGGGUCCUCUCUUCUUCCCCUGCCAGCCUAAGCCGGGCUUUGAAGGGAGAGGGAAGGGCAGCUGAGUGGGGGGUUAUGUUUAGGGGUUGUCCCUGGAAACUCAGAACUUCCUCUUCCUCCUGGGAAGCACUGUCCAAGUGCCAGUUGGGUUUUUGUUUUUUUAUUGUUUGGUUUUGGUGUUUUUUUUUUUGGUUUUGGUUUUUUGAGACAGGGUUUCUCUGUGUAGCCCUGGCUUUCCUGGAAUUUGCUCUGUAGACCAGGCUGGCCUCAAACCCACUGAGAUCGCCUGCCUCUGUCUCCCCAGUGCUGGGAUUAAAGGUGAGUGCCCCCACCACCAGGCAUCCAAGUGCCAGGUUUAAGAUGUGCCUCCAUCCUGUCUCUUGGCAGGUUGCAGAAGGUAAGUACAGAGGUUGCUGGGCGUGGUUGCGCACACCUUUGAUCCCAGCACUGGGGAGGCAGAGCAGACAGACCUCUAUGAGUUCAACACCAUGUCUACAUAGCAAGUUCCGGGUAUCCAAGACUACACAGAGAGACUCUGUCUCAAAAAACAGACAUAAAAGCCACCUCCACCUCCACCUCCACCUCGUCUCAUGUGGUCCUAAUGGGUGACAUUUUCAGAUGAGCCCCACCACAGAGCUCAAGCUGGGGUUAUUGCCUCUGCUCCACAGGGCACCCAGGGGAGACCAAGAACUUAGGGUCCCAUCCACACUUACAUCCAAAGACAAAAAGGAACAGAAGCCCAGGCGUCCUAGCCUCCAGCCUCUGGCUGCCUCGUGACACACUGUGCAACCUCACCAGAGUUUACCCGGCCUCUGCUUUAUUCAUCCAGUUCCUAAUUUCAAACAGGUCAGGAAAUGGCUGGGGAACUCCACAGGUUGAGUUGAGAGAGAGAAGUCAGGCCUUUAAGAACCCACAUCUGCUCGGAGCCUCUGGGCUCUGUGGGACAGAUGUUGGACUGCCAAUCUUGUCACAAGAUGCCCACAGUAACUUCCUCAGAGCAGAGUCAGGGUUGGCAGAAGCCAGUGCCACCUGGCUUGUGUGGGCACACCAAGCACUUCUCUGAGUUUAGGGUGAGGGUCAAAGGUCUUGUGUGAAAUUCCCAACACAAAAAUGUUGAAAUCGGGCUAUGUGGAUGGUCAAGGGCCAAAAGCCAGUGUGGUCCUCGGGGAUCUAGAUAGUUAACUCUUCUAAAUAGUCCCCCAAAGGCCAGCCAAGAGAUGGAGCCCACGGGAGAGAAGCAGCUGGAGCAGCUGGAGCAGCUGGCCUGGAAAGCUGCUGUCCCGGCUCUGUAGCCUGAGAGUUGGGCCAGCAAAGGCUCCUGGUCCGGCCCAGAAGUCCUGAUGGCCAGCACCCGGCCACAAGCCAUGGCCCACUGCUCGCACUCAACCCAGGGUUACCCCGUGCUCCCCAAGCAGCAACUGCUGAUUCUAUAUCUCUUGGGUGUUUUUUUUAUUUGAGACAAGAUCAUUAUAGCCCAGGGUGGCCUGAACUCAAAAUCCCUCUAUUCUAUAUCCUUGAGGACUGGGAUGACAGGUUUGCACCCUACAGGCUCUCCCUUUUAUGUUUUAUAAAUAGUAUAUCCAUAACACAAAAUGCACCGUUUUAACAGUGCUGGGCAUUCUAGCCAUCAAUAUUAAGUGUAGUGCAUGUGUGUGUGUGUGUGAGUGUGGACGCGAUGAGUGCAGGUGCUCAGCAGUGCAGAAGAGGACAGUGGAUCCCCUGGCGCUGGAGUUUCCGGCAGUUGUGGGGCUGCUCCGGAACAGCUGGGGUACUCUGCAAGAGCGGCAGGUGCUCUUAACAAUGGAACCAUCUCUCCAGAUUCAAGGAACCAUGAUCCUGCCCUGCGAAACCGAACCAUGAUCCCCAUUACACAACAACUGCCCAUUCCCUUCUACCCCCGAGCCCCUGGUGACCCCAUUCUGUGGAUCCCAGGAGUGGAUGGAUACAGCCCUUGUGUGUGUGUGUGUGUGUGUGUGUGUGUGUGUGUGUGUGUGUGUGUGUGUGUGUGUGUAUGGUGAUGCCACAUAAAGGGAAAGACUACCUCUUGGUCUUUAGCCAAGAGUGGACCUGUUUAUCCAGUAGUCUGGGUCUCUCCUGUUCUAAUAGUCCAAUCCAAAUGAGGUCUAGUCUACAAGAAGUCUAACUGAAGAGUCCUAAUCUAAAAAGGGAGUCCUGAAUCAAGGCUGUUCUCUCUACAAACUGAACAGUGCAGUAAAUGCAGAAAAUAGGAAUAAGCAACUUUGGUCUUAAUUUUUUUUUUUUUUUUUUUUUUUUUGGUUUUUCGAGACAGGGUUUCUCUGUGUAGCUUUGCGCCUUUCCUGGAGCUCACUUGGUAGCCCAGGCUGGCCUCGAACUCACAGAGAUCCGCCUGACUCUGCCUCCCAAGUGCUGGGAUUAAAGGCGUGCGCCACCAACGCCCGGCUUUGGUCUUAAUUUUUUACAGGAGUCUCAUAAGGGCGAAAAAAAUCUCAGAACAGCACACAAAAGCACAAACAGUAGCUGAGGAAACUCCCAGAAGGAGAAGCUGAAAGCAGAAGGAGUAGCUUUGAGGGCAACGUUCAGCAGGGAUACCCCAUACAUUCAUGACACUGACCAGAGCUACUACCACAUUUCUCGUGGACAGACGAGCAAACCUACUCCAUUCUACGGGACUGAACCUCAGAAAGGAAAGGGACCAUAGGUUCCAAGAUGCAGAGGACAGGGCUGAGACAACUGGCCCACGAGCCCAGCCUCGUGGCUGCUUCAGCAUGGCACACUGAGCUCAGGGACAAGGCGAGAAACCAUCACAGAAGGCCCUGUGAGAAAUCAGCUGAGGAGAGAGAGAGAGAGAGGCGCUGGAAACAUUGAGGCACAGCCAGGUCCAGAGACUUGCCUACAGACAGACUCAUCUGGAUGCUCAGCCCUGAGGCUCAGGACAUCCAGGAUGUGGCCCUGCUGGACCUGAACCCUGUCUGCACUGCCAGCAGAACUCUGGUGGCCACCGUGGGACACACGUGGGACCAAGCAGGAACUUGGGACCGAGCAGGGACCCCUGGCCAGCGAAUGGGCCAUUUCCCCUUCCUCUCCGAUAGAGGUUCCUCUCGCACUCUGAACUCUAGGUUAUGAGGUUUCAAGGCCACUUGACCUCUCCAGGUCUCAGUUUCCCUACUAGCAGGAAGGACUGCUUAUCAAGUGUCAACAAUUCCUGGCCUUCACCUCUGGCUUUGGAG